AUAGUUCGCUAAAUAUCUAACUGCCAGGGCUCGCAAAUAUCUAGCCACUCCUUCAUCCACAAUGCCGUGUGAAAGACGUUGUUGUCACUUGUCAGUCACAGGACACAUGGUGCUAAAGAAGCCGUCAGCUUUACUAUCAGGGAAUGUGAACAAGGUAGUUUGCCACACCAGCUGGCGAAAGGAAGACUAUAUUGUGUCAUGGUGUGGUCAAUGGUUGUUUGACAAUAAAGAGACAUUUUCAACCAUCCACUGGCUAAGAAGCCCAAAUCAUUUCUGUUUGAUUUGAAAAGAUAAGAAACAUUUGUAUUCAACCAAACAAUAGCUAAAAAGCCCGAAUUCUUUUUGGGAUGAUGAUAUAUUAAUGUUCCAUAUGGAAAAGCAAAGAGAACUGCUAAAGACUUGGCGCUCUGAGAUUCUUCUGAACAAACUUCUGAAGAGUGCGUUACAAAUAAAAUGAAUUAUUAUUAAAGAACUGCUGAGUUGCAGCACCAUUGUUUUAGUUUUUCAUUAAUGAAAAAAGAAAACAUGUUAAAUGUAUAUAUCCGUCUUUUGUCAUGAUUAAUAUACAGAGAAAAUCGGUAAUAUGUGAUAAAUCAUGAUUAAUCCACAGAUUAAUCCACACUUUUUUUUUUUAUCAUUUCACAGCCCUAAUGUAUAUAUGAAUUGUUUUAAGUAUGUUGACCUGUGAUGUAUAUUUGUUAUGGAAACACGGGAUUAGUAGUAUUUGUACUAUUUAAUUACAAUGUUUUUUAAUCCUUUAUGGUAUUUUUCAUUUAAUUCUAUUAAACAGGUCAGUUGCAGCAGUCUUUAUAUCACGGACGACUCCAACACGGCAAUAUUUCCAGAGCCAGCAGGCCAUUUUUCAAUAAUUAAUCUAACUAAUCGCAGUCAUUAUGAGGUCCACGGCGAUGCAGAGCACCUUCCACCCGCUGCUGGUGCCCCUGCUUUUGGGUUCAUGCGCCGACCCUCACCGGCUUCUGCUUCUGCCACAUCUUUUUCUGCGUCUGGUUUUUCCACUGAAACACCACCACCACCACCACGAGCUGGAACUCCACGAGCUAGUGGAGCUAGCUUGUUCCAGGGAAGAUCAUUCCAAAGGUCAAUCCAUCUGGCAGAAAUUGUUAAUGAGAAACUCAGUCCUUCCAGGACAGUAGUUGUGCGCUUUUUGGAAGCUGAGGCCUGCGUUGAACGAAUUUCGGCCAAAGUUCAAGAUGCCGUGGGCUCUGAUGAGCCUAUUACCUUGACGGACACCCAAGGAAACGAAAUAAUGGACUCUGAGGGCACAAGAACCCAACCAAUGUUACAUACCCUAUUCGGAGACCGUAAGGAACCGUGUGAAAUACCCCCAAAAAGUCAAUGACCCCUUUUAAAAACAGAAGUGAAGUUAAUGUUUUCUGACUUCUUAGGUUCCCAGUUCUGGAAACAGAACUCAAGAAAAAUAUAUGCUGUGCCUGAAAGUGACUUUGUGGAGUUUCAGAAUGGGAGAAGAGCUAAAACAAGUCGAAGGGAUGGAGAUUCAAGCCUGCAGGAGGUCCUUGGACGUGUUGACCAGCUGAAGCAAGCCGCCGGGAGUCUCCAAGAGGUCACUAAUUCAAUCAACCAGCUGUCUCAGCUGGCCAAGUCUCAAAAGGAGGAGAUAAUGGCAAAUGUCGGUUUGCAGCCCUUAAAGGAAGCCUUUGCAUGUCUUGUGUGUAAAGCUGUAAUGGCAGAUCCCAUGUUCGCCACAUGCUGUG